rnacentral:rRNA from 1 species
CACGUAGGCGGAUUUUUAAGUCGAUUGUGAAAUCCCCGGGCUUAACCUGGGAUGUGCAGUCGAAACUGAAGGUCUUGAAUGCCAGAGAGGGUGGCGGAAUUCCUGGUGUAGAAGUGAAAUUCGUAGAUAUCAGGAGGAACACCGGAGCCGAAGGGGGCUACCUGGCUGUGCAUUGACGCUGAGGUGCGAAAGCGCGGGGAGCAAACAGGAUUAGAUACCCUGGUAGUCCGCGCCAUAAACGAUGGAUACUAGGUGUUCGGAGAGUUAACCCUCUGAGUACCGAAGCUAACGCAUUAAGUAUCCCGCCUGGGGACUACGGCCGCAAGGUUAAA